AGCCUGACGAGGAUGCUAUCAGAGUAAGUGUAUCCAAGCGAGUCAACGCCCACAAGGCGUGGCAUACGGCUCAGUAACACGUAGUCAACAUGCCCAAAGGACGUGGAUAACCUCGGGAAACUGAGGAUAAAACCGCGAUAGGCCAAGGUUUCUGGAAUGAGCCCUGGCCGAAAUAUAUAUGGCCUUUGGAUUGGACUGCGGCCGAUCAGGCUGUUGGUGAGGUAAUGGCCCACCAAACCUGUAACCGGUACGGGCUUUGAGAGAAGGAGCCCGGAGAUGGGCACUGAGACAAGGGCCCAGGCCCUAUGGGGCGCAGCAGGCGCGAAACCUCUGCAAUAGGCGAAAGCCUGACAGGGUUACUCUGAGUGAUGCCCGCUAAGGGUAUCUUUUGGCACCUCUAAAAAUGGUGCAGAAUAAGGGGUGGGCAAGUCUGGUGUCAGCCGCCGCGGUAAUACCAGCACCCCGAGUUGUCGGGACGAUUAUUGGGCCUAAAGCAUCCGUAGCCUGUUCUGCAAGUCUUCCGUUAAAUCCACCUGCUUAACGGAUGGGCUGCGGAGGAUACCGCAGAGUUAGGAGGCGGGAGAGGCAAACGGUACUCAGUGGGUAGGGGUAAAAUCCAUUGAUCUACUGAAGACCACCAGUGGCGAAGGCGGUUUGCCAGAACGCGCUCGACGGUGAGGGAUGAAAGCUGGGGGAGCAAACCGGAUUAGAUACCCGGGUAGUCCCAGCUGUAAACGAUGCAGACUCGGUGAUGGGUUGGCCUCGAGCCAACCCAGUGCCGCAGGGAAGCCGUUAAGUCUGCCGCCUGGGGAGUACGGUCGCAAGACUGAAACUUAAAGGAAUUGGCGGGGGAGCACCACAAGGGGUGAAGCCUGCGGUUCAAUUGGAGUCAACGCCGGA
rnacentral:rRNA from 1 species